GAAGAUCCAGGCAGCCCCUGACCGCCCUCCUUCCCCUUAGUCAUGUCCAGUUCUGUAAACAAAUUCUCAACUGCACCAGAAGGCCUGACAGUUAAGAGAACCCAGUGAAGAAACCUUUUGCAGAGAGAGAAAAGAACCCUUUUGAAUGUGAUCAAUCACGCUGAUUUAUUUGGAUGAUUUCUCUUCUGGAUUUCCUUAAACCAGGGAAAACCCAGGGACAGCAAUUGCUAUAAUUGAUGCAAACGAUCCCAGCCACACUCCCUGAUCCUGGUUCUGAAACUCAGAGAUGCAGCUGACCAGACUGAUGUGGCCAGCCUCACUCUGAAGGAUCCUGCAGCAGACAAAUUGCUGGAAUGUGUUCAGACGGAAUCCAGCUGCUACAACCGUCACACAAACUUCCUGAAAUAGAGGACAAAAGAGACAGAGGUCUUGCUAUGUUGCCCAGGCUGGUCUCAAGCUCCUGGCCUCAAGCGAUUCUCCUUCCUCAGCCUCCAAAAGUGCUGGGAUUACAGGUGCAACAGUGACCCGUGACGCAGUAGGGAGGGCUGUUUUCCAUGCCCAGUGAGGCCUGCUCAGCUCCCAUUAGGCCUUUAUGGAUGGCCUGCCUCCCAGCUGGUACCUGGUCCCGUCACAGUCCCAGGACUCUAGACCUCGAGGCAGCCAGGUGGGUGCUACAGAUGGUGACCUCUCGGUGGCACAGCCUGGCGCUGCAGCAGAAUGCAGGGUUGGGGGCGGGGUGAAGAAUGGAGUCUGGAUUGUGCCAAAACAGGAGUUUCUAUGUCUGGUCCUGCCACCGACUGCACCUGCAUUGCUGCGUGACCUUGACAGCUACUCCUUCCACACCUGAACGUCCUCAUCUGGAAACUGGACUUGCCUCCUAGGGUUCCUGCAAAUAUAAAAUGAGCUAAUGCCUUUGAGGUGUUUGCUAUUGUCCUGGCACUUGGCAAACACAUGAUAAAUAUUAGCAAUCACUUGCGAGGGGGUGUGGGGUUCGGGGGAGCUUUGCCCCUCCUCCCCCUCUCCAGGGCUGAGCAGCAGUGAAGAGCUUUCUGCAUAAGAGAGAGCAAGAGAGAUAAAUAAACCCACAUCUUCCUCUGAAAGAGGCUCCUGCUGGCUGGCUGCUCACCUGACCAAGUCUCCCUCCCAGCCUGUCUUCACUCUUUGGUCCACCCUCAAGGGAACCAGGUCACACAGCCUCAGCACUUCCUGCAUGCCAGUCUCUAGCUGGUGCCUUCCACUGGCUGAACCCCAUAAGAAACUAGAGGGCGGCCGGGUGCCGUGGUUCAUUCCUGUAAUCCCAGCGCUUUGGGAGGCCAAGAGUUCAAGUCCAGCCUGGGCAACAUGGUGAAACUCUGUCUCUACAAAAAAUACAAAAAUUAGCAGGGUGUGCUGGUGCUGAGCUUGGCAGGUGGAGGUUGCAGUGAGCUGAGAUGGUGCCACUGCACUCCAGCCUGGGCAACAGAGCGAGACUCCGCCUCAAAAAAAAGGAAAAGAAAAAGAAAAAAA
ensembl:lncRNA novel transcript